rnacentral:rRNA from 1 species
UAAGGAAUAUUGGUCAAUGGACGAAAGUCUGAACCAGCCAUGCCGCGUGAAGGAUGACGGCCCUCUGGGUUGUAAACUUCUUUUAUCUGGGACGAAAAAAGAUCAUUCCUGAUCACUUGACGGUACCAGAGGAAUAAGCACCGGCUAACUCCGUGCCAGCAGCCGCGGUAAUACGGAGGGUGCAAGCGUUAUCCGGAUUUACUGGGUUUAAAGGGUGCGUAGGUGGGUCUGUAAGUCAGUGGUGAAAUCUCCGAGCUUAACUCGGAAACUGCCAUUGAUACUAUAGGUCUUGAAUAUUCUGGAGGUAAGCGGAAUAUGUCAUGUAGCGGUGAAAUGCUGAGAUAUGACAUAGAACACCGAUUGCGAAGGCAGCUUGCUACAGUAUUAUUGACACUGAGGCUCGAAAGCUUGGGGAUCAAACA